AGGACGAACGCUGGCGGCGUGCCUAAUACAUGCAAGUCGAACGAAGCUUUCUUUCACCGAAUGCUUGCAUUCACCGAAAGAAGCUUAGUGGCGAACGGGUGAGUAACACGUAGGCAACCUGCCCAAAAGAGGGGGACAACACUUGGAAACAGGUGCUAAUACCGCAUAACCAUGAACACCGCAUGAUGUUCAUGUAAAAGACGGCUUUUGCUGUCACUUUUGGAUGGGCCUGCGGCGUAUUAACUUGUUGGUGGGGUAACGGCCUACCAAGGUGAUGAUACGUAGCCGAACUGAGAGGUUGAUCGGCCACAUUGGGACUGAGACACGGCCCAAACUCCUACGGGAGGCAGCAGUAGGGAAUCUUCCACAAUGGACGAAAGUCUGAUGGAGCAACGCCGCGUGAAKGAAAGAGGGCCUUCGGGUCGUAAAAUUCUGUUGUCAGAGAAGAACGUGCGUGAGAGUAACUGUUCACGUAUUGACGGUAUCUGACCAGAAAGCCACGGCUAACUACGUGCCAGCAGCCGCGGUAAUACGUAGGUGGCGAGCGUUGUCCGGAUUUAUUGGGCGUAAAGGGAACGCAGGCGGUCUUUUAAGUCUGAUGUGAAAGCCUUCGGCUUAACCGAAGUAGUGCAUUGGAAACUGGAAGACUUGAGUGCAGAAGAGGAGAGUGGAACUCCAUGUGUAGCGGUGAAAUGCGUAGAUAUAUGGAAGAACACCAGUGGCGAAAGCGGCUCUCUGGUCUGUAACUGACGCUGAGGUUCGAAAGCGUGGGUAGCAAACAGGAUUAGAUACCCUGGUAGUCCACGCCGUAAACGAUGAGUGCUAAGUGUUGGAGGGUUUCCGCCCUUCAGUGCUGCAGCUAACGCAUUAAGCACUCCGCCUGGGGAGUACGG
rnacentral:rRNA from 1 species